rnacentral:tRNA from 4 species
GCCCACGUAGCUCAGAUGGUAGAGCGCAUCCUUGGUAAGGAUGAGGUCACCGGUUCGAUUCCGGUCGUGGGCUCCA